rnacentral:tRNA from 1 species
GCACUCUUAGCUCAGUUGGAAAGAGCAUCUGACUAUGAAUCAGGAAGUCGGGCGUUUCAAUCGCUCAGAGUGGG